UGUGAUUCAUGACUGGGGUGAAGUCGUAACAAGGUAACCGUAGGGGAACCUGCGGUUGGAUCACCUCCUUACCAAGAAG
rnacentral:rRNA from 1 species